GUGGGGAAUAUUGGACAAUGGGGGCAACCCUGAUCCAGCCAUGCCGCGUGAAUGAAGAAGGCCUUAGGGUUGUAAAGUUCUUUCACCCAUGAAGAUGAUGACGGUAAUGGGAGAAGAAGCCCCGGCUAACUCCGUGCCAGCAGCCGCGGUAAUACGGAGGGGGCAAGCGUUGUUCGGAAUUACUGGGCGUAAAGGGCGCGCAGGCUGCGUGGUUAGUCAGAUGUGAAAGCCCCGGGCUUAACCUGGGAACUGCAUUUGAUACUGCCGCGCUAGAGUUCGGGAGAGGGUAGUGGAAUUCCCAGUGUAGAGGUGAAAUUCGUAGAUAUUGGGAAGAACACCAGUGGCGAAGGCGGCUACCUGGACCGAUACUGACGCUGAGGCGCGAAAGCGUGGGGAGCAAACAGGAUUAGAAACCCGAGUAGUCC
rnacentral:rRNA from 1 species